rnacentral:rRNA from 1 species
GUGAGGAAUAUUGCGCAAUGGAGGCAACUCUGACGCAGCCAUGCCGCGUGCAGGAAGAAGGCGCUACGCGUUGUAAACUGCUUUUAACCGGGAAGAAACCCCAGGACGUGUCCUGGGUUGACGGUACCGGAUGAAUAAGCACCGGCUAACUUCGUGCCAGCAGCCGCGGUAAUACGAAGGGUGCAAGCGUUAUCCGGAUUCAUUGGGUUUAAAGGGUGCGUAGGCGGAGCGUUAAGUCAGUGGUGAAAUCCUGCAGCUUAACUGUAGACUUGCCAUUGAUACUGGCGCUCUUGAGUGCGCUUGAAGUGGGCGGAAUGUGCCGUGUAGCGGUGAAAUGCUUAGAUAUGGCACAGAACACCAAUUGCGAAGGCAGCUCACUAAGGCGAUACUGACGCUGAGGCACGAAAGCGUGGGGAUCGAACAGGAUUAGAUACCCCGGUAGUCC